rnacentral:snoRNA from 1 species
UAGCUAUUUUGUACUAUAUAAACAUACUUACCAUUCAAUACAAAUCAAGAAAACUUAACCCUAAAUAAUCUUGACAUUCUUCGUGCCUUUCGAAUUCUGUUUGUGUCGAUUAUGGCCUCGAACAAGUCACUACAUU